GGCAGAGUAGUGCAACAGGAGCAUGCUGGGCUCAUAACCCAGAGGUCAAUGGAUCAAAACCAUCCUCUGCUA
rnacentral:tRNA from 1 species